UUAGUGGAAGCGUCUGGAAAGGCGCGCGAUACAGGGUGACAGCCCCGUACACAAAAAUGCACAUGCUGUGAGCUCGAUGAGUAGGGCGGGACACGUGGUAUCCUGUCUGAAUAUGGGGGGACCAUCCUCCAAGGCUAAAUACUCCUGACUGACCGAUAGUGAACCAGUACCGUGAGGGAAAGGCGAAAAGAACCCCGGCGAGGGGAGUGAAAAAGAACCUGAAACCGUGUACGUACAAGCAGUGGGAGCCCUGAUUUAUCAGGGUGACUGCGUACCUUUUGUAUAAUGGGUCAGCGACUUAUAUUCUGUAGCAAGGUUAACCGAAUAGGGGAGCCGGAGGGAAACCGAGUCUUAACUGGGCGUUAAGUUGCAGGGUAUAGACCCGAAACCCGGUGAUCUAGCCAUGGGCAGGUUGAAGGUUGGGUAACACUAACUGGAGGACCGAACCGACUAAUGUUGAAAAAUUAGCGGAUGACUUGUGGCUGGGGGUGAAAGGCCAAUCAAACCGGGAGAUAGCUGGUUCUCCCCGAAAGCUAUUUAGGUAGCGCCUCGUGAAUUCAUCUCCGGGGGUAGAGCACUGUUUCGGCAAGGGGGUCAUCCCGACUUACCAACCCGAUGCAAACUGCGAAUACCGGAGAAUGUUAUCACGGGAGACACACGGCGGGUGCUAACGUCCGUCGUGAAGAGGGAAACAACCCAGACCGCCAGCUAAGGUCCCAAAGUCAUGGUUAAGUGGGAAACGAUGUGGGAAGGCCCAGACAGCCAGGAUGUUGGCUUAGAAGCAGCCAUCAUUUAAAGAAAGCGUAAUAGCUCACUGGUCGAGUCGGCCUGCGCGGAAGAUGUAACGGGGCUAAACCAUGCACCGAAGCUGCGGCAGCGACGCUGAUGCGUUGUUGGGUAGGGGAGCGUUCUGUAAGCCUGCGAAGGUGUACUGUGAGGUAUGCUGGAGGUAUCAGAAGUGCGAAUGCUGACAUAAGUAACGAUAAAGCGGGUGAAAAGCCCGCUCGCCGGAAGACCAAGGGUUCCUGUCCAACGUUAAUCGGGGCAGGGUGAGUCGACCCCUAAGGCGAGGCCGAAAGGCGUAGUCGAUGGGAAACAGGUUAAUAUUCCUGUACUUGGUGUUACUGCGAAGGGGGGACGGAGAAGGCUAUGUUGGCCGGGCGACGGUUGUCCCGGUUUAAGCGUGUAGGCUGGUUUUCCAGGCAAAUCCGGAGAAUCAAGGCUGAGGCGUGAUGACGAGGCACUACGGUGCUGAAGCAACAAAUGCCCUGCUUCCAGGAAAAGCCUCUAAGCAUCAGGUAACAUCAAAUCGUACCCCAAACCGACACAGGUGGUCAGGUAGAGAAUACCAAGGCGCUUGAGAGAACUCGGGUGAAGGAACUAGGCAAAAUGGUGCCGUAACUUCGGGAGAAGGCACGCUGAUGGUAGGUGAAGCGACUUGCUCGUGGAGCUGAAAUCAGUCGAAGAUACCAGCUGGCUGCAACUGUUUAUUAAAAACACAGCACUGUGCAAACACGAAAGUGGACGUAUACGGUGUGACGCCUGCCCGGUGCCGGAAGGUUAAUUGAUGGGGUCAGCGCAAGCGAAGCUCUUGAUCGAAGCCCCGGUAAACGGCGGCCGUAACUAUAACGGUCCUAAGGUAGCGAAAUUCCUUGUCGGGUAAGUUCCGACCUGCACGAAUGGCGUAAUGAUGGCCAGGCUGUCUCCACCCGAGACUCAGUGAAAUUGAACUCGCUGUGAAGAUGCAGUGUACCCGCGGCAAGACGGAAAGACCCCGUGAACCUUUACUAUAGCUUGACACUGAACACUGGUCCUUGAUGUGUAGGAUAGGUGGGAGGCUUUGAAGUGUGGACGCCAGUCUGCAUGGAGCCGUCCUUGAAAUACCACCCUUUAAUGGCUGGUGUUCUAACGUGGGCCCGUAAUCCGGGUUGCGGACAGUGUCUGGUGGGUAGUUUGACUGGGGCGGUCUCCUCCUAAAGAGUAACGGAGGAGCACGAAGGUUGGCUAAUCCUGGUCGGACAUCAGGAGGUUAGUGCAAUGGCAUAAGCCAGCUUGACUGCGAGCGUGACGGCGCGAGCAGGUGCGAAAGCAGGUCAUAGUGAUCCGGUGGUUCUGAAUGGAAGGGCCAUCGCUCAACGGAUAAAAGGUACUCCGGGGAUAACAGGCUGAUACCGCCCAAGAGUUCAUAUCGACGGCGGUGUUUGGCACCUCGAUGUCGGCUCAUCACAUCCUGGGGCUGAAGUAGGUCCCAAGGGUAUGGCUGUUCGCCAUUUAAAGUGGUACGCGAGCUGGGUUUAGAACGUCGUGAGACAGUUCGGUCCCUAUCUGCCGUGGGCGCUGGAGAACUGAGGGGGGCUGCUCCUAGUACGAGAGGACCGGAGUGGACGCAUCACUGGUGUUCGGGUUGUCAUGCCAAUGGCACUGCCCGGUAGCUAAAUGCGGAAGAGAUAAGUGCUGAAAGCAUCUAAGCACGAAACUUGCCCCGAGAUGAGUUCUCCCUGAGACUUUAAGUCUCCUGAAGGAACGUUGAAGACGACGACGUUGAUAGGCCGGGUGUGUAAGCGCAGCGAUGCGUUGAGCUAACCGGUACUAAUGAACCGUGAGGCUUAACCUUACAACGCCGAAGGUGUUU
rnacentral:rRNA from 1 species